rnacentral:rRNA from 1 species
GACGAACGCUGGCGGCGUGCUUAACACAUGCAAGUCGAACGCUGAACCCGCUUCGGUGGGGGAUGAGUGGCGAACGGGUGAGUAACACGUGGGCAACCUGCCCCCGGCUCUGGGAUAACCCCAAGAAAUUGGGGCUAAUACCGGAUGUGACCGCUGGCCGCAUGGUCUGGUGGUGGAAAGGGUUUCCGGCUGGGGAUGGGCCCGCGGCCUAUCAGCUUGUUGGUGGGGUAGUGGCCUACCAAGGCGACGACGGGUAGCCGGCCUGAGAGGGUGACCGGCCACACUGGGACUGAGACACGGCCCAGACUCCUACGGGAGGCAGCAGUGGGGAAUAUUGCGCAAUGGGCGGAAGCCUGACGCAGCGACGCCGCGUGGGGGAUGACGGCCUUCGGGUUGUAAACCUCUUUCAGCAGGGACGAAGCGCAAGUGACGGUACCUGCAGAAGAAGCACCGGCCAACUACGUG